rnacentral:lncRNA from 1 species
CUGAGGAACUCAACCCUUGAGAAAUGAUCAAAAUAUCCUUCGAGUCGUAGAAGGAGGAUCUCCAUGGAUCAUUCGGUCACCCUCCACGCUAGUAUGGGUACUGAAUGUUUUAUUGUUAGGAAAAGAAGAGGAAAAUGUCUUAUGAUUUUUUUUUUUGAGGGGGGUUUCCUUGUGCUAAUUUCUUAAAACAUGGGAACGAUGC